CCACCAUCCCUCUUAGGCUCUCAUUAUCACAGGAGAGGAGGUUGCUGCUCAGUAUGGCGUACGACUUGCAGAAAGAGCCUUGGUCCUUGAGGGACAGACCCAGUCUCAGCUGGAGAGCAGCAAUGCUGUUUAAAGUCACUGGGCAGAACUGGGGCGUAUGCUGCAGCUAUGCUCACUCCUCCUUAGCCCAACGUUUGAAGAACUGUUACUGCCAGGCACAUAGCUUUACAGGAUUAUGCUCUGGGGCUGUCUUGGCUUGUUUCUUUUUACUCAAGGGAAGAGACUGUACUUGUCAUUUGGCAGUAUGGGUAUUUCUUGUCUUCAUUUCCAGAUACAUUAAUUGAAUCCUAUAUUUUCUUCUUCACUUUUUUUUUUCCUGAUUUGAAAUACCAGUGCAGAACCUUUAAAAAUCUGUAAAAAAUAUAUAUUAGUGAUGUCCACUACAAAAUUCUUUUUUUUCUACAGCCACAAUAAAGAGUGAAAAGUGCAAACGUUUAGUGGGUUG
rnacentral:lncRNA from 1 species